rnacentral:lncRNA from 1 species
UAAAAUACAAAAAUUGAUACUUUACCUUUAAACCCUCUAAACCAAUCAAAUAUGUUCCUAUAAAAACCCUAAAACACACACCCUUUUACCCCAUUAUAUUCAUCUGAUUCAUUUUCUCAAAACCCUAAGCUACACAUAUCCUCAAAAUAAGAAGAAACCCUAAAGAACAACACAUUUUUCCAACAACUUUCGCCUCAUCUCAAGCACACAUUCACCAACCCAAAAGCUUUUCCUUUAUUAAUAAAUACUCUACCCAUAAAGAGUUUCCUUGAUUAACCUAUAUUACACUAUAAAGAUACACCUUACUAUCAAAAUUCCUAAUUUAGGAAUAGUUCCAGCCAUAAGACCCACUAUUUCCUUUACAAAAUCAUUCUCUUAUUCACCCAAAACACCAAAAAACCUCACUCUUGUCUACCUAUACAUUAGAAGACCAAAAUAUACUGUGGGUGGCCAUUUCGGGCGUGCACCCAAGUGUCUUUAGCGACUACGGCUUGCAAGGCUUUUCAACCUAAUCGAGAACAUGCUAACUAGUCACAGCAACUAGCAUAGAGAUAGGAGUCGCCACCCGGGUAAUUCACUAGAGCACUUUUGUAAAUUUCUCUGAACCAAACACGUUUAACUUUGGAGUUCCUACAACUGCAUGGCCAAACAACCAAAAAGCGCCUCAUGUGAUUAGUUCCAACUCUUUACGUAUAUGUUAUCAACCAUUCCCCCCCCCUCCCCAUUUCAAUGUACAAUUCGAUUCAUUCAUGUACUCCCGUACCUUAGAGUGCUGCCAUCCUAGAAGCCUGCUAGAAGCCACUCCUUGUCCAGGCAUCCUAUCCUUGCCCCAGUGUCCACUUUCCGCCCUCGUUGGACCGCUUCUCUAGGCCAAGCUGUCACAAUUUUUACUAAUGAGUGACUUUUUUUCGAUUCCACAAGGAAACUUACAUCACAAAUCUAGAGAUGGAUAUGGAAGCUAACUUCCUAAUUUGUAUAUAUUUAUCUUUGAUUUUAUUGUUUAACGAGCUAUUCCCUUUCAAGCACUACAACAUGUAAGAUCCUCACGAUUCUAGCCCUUUUUAUUAAAACCAAGUCCAUAUUCAAAGUUAUUAACCUCACUUACUACUUAAUUAUAUAUAAGGCCCACCUAGUUUAGCCUGACUAAAAAUUAUGCUUUAAUUUCCAGCUUCUAAGCCUAACAGAGUACUUUUUAUGAAGAGGCCCAACUUAGUGAUCUUAAAUCUAAUAUGUCCUAAUUUAACCUAACUAAAACAUGGCAAAACUCGUUUAGUCUAUGUGAUUUUAAGGCCCAAUUGCCAUUUAAUUAACCUAAUGGACUAUGAUUUUCACGCUAAAUCCAAUUUUAAAGCUUGUGUCUAUAUGUCAUUUUAAUUAGAUAAUCACACAUCAUCAUAAAUAGAGCAAAGAAAUAAAGAUUAGAAAGUAAAUCUAGCUAUUACAACCCACCUACAACUAACAAUUGGAGAAAAAAUCCUAAAACUAAAUUACAGUACAUGAAAUUGCCAAAAAUACAUCAAAAACUUGAGAAUCAACCUAAAAAUUAUGCACAGCCGAUUGCCUCAUGGUUAGAGCCGAUCGGCUCUGCAUUGAGUCGAUAAGCUCUACAGGCUUCAGGUGGCUUUUCUGCAGUUCUUCUUGAUUUCUCGUGCCCAAAACUGAUUUUCACAUGUACAGAGGGUAAAAAUUUAAUUCGAAUAUGUAAAACUAAUAAAAAAAAUGAAAAUAUAAUCUAAUUAUAUUUACUAUUAACUAAUAAAGUUCAAAACCCAAUCAAUUCAGAUUCAAAACCCUAUGUGUUCUUAUUAUUGGAUUCAAAACUCAAUAAAAUCAACAUGUUAAGUAGAAAGGAACUCUAGUUUAAUCAUGUGAAUUAUGUGGAACAAACAUUAAAAAAAUUCCUAAUAUGUUUCUAUAGCAAAUAUAUAUAUAUAUAUAUAUAAAAGAAACAAUUGGGGAAGAGAUGUUGAUGAUGUGGAUGUAGGGUAACCCUUGAAUUGUCACUGUUGGUUAUUGUUCUACAAGUCUCAAGAGAUGAGGAAACAAUUGAAUCAAAGAGUGGUUGGGAACCCAGUUCUACUUUUGAGAUUUAAAUUUUUUUUAUGUCGUUCUCCAAUUAGUUUCCUAAUUUGGAAGCUCUUUCUUAGUGGCUUGGUAAUGGCUUCUAUAUAGAUUCAUGUAGCUAGAAAACUUUUGAGGAUUCUCAGUGUCGCUAACCCUAGAGUAAGGCCAUAUUAUUAUUAUUUAUAGUAGGGUUAGAAAAUCCUAAAAAUAUUGAUAAUUGUUCAAUUAUAAGAAAAUAGAUUGUAAUUAUCCUUCCCUUUUAUUAGAUUAAUAUCAAAUAAAAAUGGAUUAAAUUUUUUUAUUUUCAAAUAAUUAUCAUAAAAAAUAUUUUAAAAGAAUCCUAAUAAUUAUUAUAAAUGCCUUCUAGAAACUUAUUUUUACCAAAUUUUAGUGUUUUAGGUCAAGAAUAUAUAUAAAACGACACCAGACUCGAAAAACAACCAAUUAACAUUGUGUAGAGCCAAUCAACUCUAUACUAAGCCGAUCAGCUCUUUGUGGAGCUGAUACGACUGUGGACAAAGCUGAUACAACUAUACACAGAGCUGAUUGGCUUUAAAGAGCAAAAGUUAUUAAAAUUUUGAUGAUUUAGUCUCUAAGCUUAUGAAACCUAUCGUUUUACCCCUCAAACUUUAUAUUUUCUCUCACUUGGGUCCAAAUGGAUUUUAGAAAAGUAAUUUUAAGUCCAACUAUUCACAUCCUUCACUUGAUUCGCCCUUCUUUUAUCUCUUAAGACUCGAGAAAGGCAGUAAACUUCAUAAUUGGGUUUUUUUUGUAAUUUCUUUAAUAUCUAGAUCUGAAAGAUCGAUGUUGACAACUACCUGUUGUGAAAUUCUCACAAGUAUACAAAUCACACAAAAGUAAUAAAGUGAGAUUAGAGUAUCCUCCCACGAGGAUUGAAUUUAUGAGUAUUGAAAUUAAUUAGCCAACAAAUAACUAACAAUGAAUAUUCGAUUAAAAAUAUGUAAAAAUCAAGUUUGGCACUACUUUGAACUACUAAAUUAUACUCUAGCUAAUUAAGAUAAAAGGAGAAUAUCAAGUUUAAGGAUUACUAGGGCUUAAUGGUUUCACUAAGAUCCUAUUGGGUCAUUUUGAGUUAAUUAAAUGCUCCAAAUGUAUAAUGCUCCACCCACCUAACUUAGUUAAAUUAACCUUUAUCUUUAAAUGAUUAACUCCUACCUUUGAUGUCUAAAGGAUUCACUCAUUUUCUUGAGGGAAACUCUCACCCAUUUACCUAAGAAAUACUCACAAUCCCAUAAAUCUUGGAGGCUCACUAGGAACAAUUAGGCAAAAGGGUGAUACUUGGGGUCUAAGAGGCAUCUUUACCUAGUAAACUCCCAAGGAAAGCAUUUCAUCAAGUACCUUAUGAGCAAAUCUCUCAGUUCAUGAUUCAAGCAAAAAUACAUUCCUAUUUGUUGGCCAAACAAAAGAGAAUAGCAAUUGUAACAGAAAUCUUGAACAUAAACAUAAGAGAAUUUCAAAUUUAUUAAACUCAAGGUAAAACCUAAUAUUCACAAAGUUAACCCAUAACCCUAGUAAUGAUUUAGUUGUUCCUCAUCAAAAGUGCAAUCUCUAAGAAGGAAAACAAAGAAUCUAGAGUCAUUAUGAGAUUGUAAAAUCACAAAGCACAAGGAUUAAACAAAUUUAAGAAUAAAUAGAUUUAAGAAUAACAAACUAAGAAAUAAAAGCUUUCCUCUCCAACUUCACUUGUAGAACUGUUGAUUCUUGCUUCAAUCUUGAAAUCACCUCCCUCAGACUUGAUUUUCAGCCCCAAAUCUUCACCUUCAAAAAUAAAUCUACCAAUUUUCCUCUUUGGAAUCUAUUAUAGGUUUUUUCUUUUGUUUGACAGCUCUCCCCUUACCUUCUUGCCCUAAAUGUCCAAAUGAUGAGUAUUUGUAACCCCCCUUUGAUGUUGCCCAUGUGUCUUUUAGUUAAAAUGAAACUUUCAGCUUGACAAGGAUUGUGUUGGCUUUGUGUAUUAAAGUCACAUGGAUUGUGUCACUUUUCUUCAUAUUUGACAUGGUCCAUAUCAUAAAACAAUAGCAUCCCAAGAGGCUAACAUGAACGUUAUUACUUCCCUUCUUAUAUUGACACAGACCAUGUCAUAAAACAGUAGCUCUCCUUCAGGAUGACACGGGCUGUGCUACUUUUCCUCAAAAAAUGACACGGACCGUGCUGUAACACAAUAGCUUCCCUUUAGGAUGACAUGGGUCGUGUUACUUUUUCUUAUAAAAUGACACUUACCAUGUCAAACACUU